CUUCCGUCAGCCGCCGCAACAAUCCCUUCCCGCAGAUGUGCACGACCUACCCUUCCCCGGCCAGCCGCCGCCAACCAUGCUUGCCUCCGGCCAGCCGCCCCUGCUGACCCUGCCGCCCUCAUCGCCGGCGGUCCCCGGUAAGCACCUCUCCAGAGAUGCGGGAUCAAGCCGCCGCCACCAUGGAUUCAGCCGCCACGCCCCAAUCGAUGGUCCUCAUGGCCAGCCACCGCCGGUGACUUACACCGCCACGCCCAAUGCCCCCCUGCCAGUCACGGCCGCUCCACAGAUGAGCAUUAAUUCCACCAUAUUCCUUCGUCUUCCCCGCUUUUAUGUCACAAACUCUUCCACCUCCAUGCCACAAAUGCAUAUGAAACGGCCUCGCAGCACUCAAUUUACGACCGUCAUUAUCUCCUGCUUCAUUACCCUGCAAAUGCGGAAAAGGUCGUGCUUAUAACCCCUCUGCCAUACGCAUCGACCACGAACGCCUGCUCACAUCCAUGUCUGGGAACCAACUGCAGCCGUACUAGGUUGUGCUAGGGAUGAAAGGAUGCUGAGCGUGUAGGUUUUUUGCUGCUCAGAUUGGCCACAUUGUAUCACAGAUUGCUCUCCGAAUCGAAAGGUGCUUCAACUUCUAUUUAGUAGGUCUCUUGCUCCUCGGAUUGCCUUCAUUUCAGUUUUGCAGCGGUCUCCUGCUUCUUACAUUGGUUCACGAAGCUACUGACCUUGAAAGAGUGGUGAUGCGAGUGAGAUUCUGAGAGAUUUCUCUCGGAUCAAAAGGAGCUCGACGUUAUGCUUCACAGAUCUCUUCCUGCUCGGACUGGAUUCAUUGCUUCAUAGGUAUCUUGCAGCUCGCAUUGGUACGAACACACUUACUGCUGAAUUUAGUUAGUUACACUUGAUGAGCAUAUGCACCUUCUAUUUAUUUCAGUGCAUAUUACAUAGUAAAAUACCAUAUAAAUUUCUUCCUCUUGAUUAUUCCAUUCUAUUUAUUUGUUCAAACAUAUUGGCUGCAAUCUACUUCAAGGCAUCCUGGUAGGCAUUUAGUCUUACGUAGUAAUGAGCACCCUCGCCGUCAAUCACAACAUGUUGUCACACCCUUAAAUUGAGGUCAGUUAGGAUAAUACAAAAGUAUUACCCUAAAGAUUUCUAUGAGUAAGCCACUAUUAGAGAAUGUUAUCCUCACAAUCUCCACUGAUGGUACGUACAAAUAUCUCUUCCAAGUAUAUGACAAAGGGAUUUGAUAGGCAGAUAAAAAAUGGAGUCUAAUGAUGGAUCAUCCGGUUCAUCAAGUGAAACAGUCAAUGAAAUAGAAAAUCAUCCAGAAUGUCGCUAUAUGACACCAAAUGAGAUUGUUUGGCGCUUGCCAGAGAGAAUGAAGAUUGAUUCAGUAUCCAGGUUCCCCGUAAGUUAUGUCAUAAAGAAAAGCUUCUCGGUUGACAAUGGCUAAUUUCUUUUCAUUCAAAAAGUAUGUUCUUCCUAAUUUUAACCAUAUUACCUACUACAUACAAAGUACUAACUUGAAACAUGAAAUACUUCCAGCCAUAUCCAUGCAAAGAAAUGAUGACCCAUCCAUCUUCGAAGAAUAUCGAGAGUGCGAUGACCCAUACACCAGAGGAUGCAAACAAUACUACACCUCCCUCUUGCCAACCCGCAACUAAUGUCAUUGAGAAAAAAAAUAGGUACUCUUUGGCUAAAAUGAGCAUUGAACUUUCAGAAGAUGAAACCACCAAAAAAGAGAUUAUUGUGCAUUUAGGACAUGCGAGGGAAAAAUGACAUUGUCAAGGUGCAUGCAAUCACAAGAAUAAUGCUGCACAAGUUAGCAACAUGAACGACAUAGAAGAGAUGCACCUACGAGCUACACUACUACCUUUCUACAUAAAAUUUAGUUACAUCCUUGCUUCAAUUGUAAUCCCGACAAACUCAUGUUAUUACUAUUUCCUAAUGACCCUAUGCAUAUUACCUAUGCAAUUAUUAA